rnacentral:rRNA from 1 species
UUGAUCAUGGCUCAGGAUGAACGCUGGCGGCGUGCUUAACACAUGCAAGUUGAACGAAGCUCUUUGGACAGAUUCCUUCGGGAUGAAGUACAUUGAGACUUAGUGGCGAACGGGUGAGUAACACGUGAGCAACCAACCCUUGACAGUGGGAUAACAACGGGAAACCGUUGCUAAUACCACAUAAAAUCUUUAUACGGCAUCGUAUUUAGAUCAAAGAUUUAUCGGUCAAGGACGGGCUCGCGUCCGAUUAGGUAGUUGGUAAGGUAACGGCUUACCAAGCCUACGAUCGGUAGCCGGACUGAGAGGUCGAUCGGCCACAUUGGGACUGAGAUACGGCCCAGACUCCUACGGGAGGCAGCAGUGGGGAAUAUUGGGCAAUGGACGCAAGUCUGACCCAGCGACGCCGCGUGAAGGACGAAGGCAUUCGUGUUGUAAACUUCUUUGGAGAGGGACGAAAUUGACGGUACCUCUCGAACAAGCCACGGCUAACUACGUGCCAGCAGCCGCGGUAAUACGUAGGUGGCAAGCGUUAUCCGGAAUUACUGGGUGUAAAGGGCGCGCAGGCGGCCUUGCAAGUCGGAUGUGAAAGAUCAAGGCUCAACCUUGACAGGUCAUCCGAAACUGUAAGACUUGAGUGUCAGAGGGGAAAGUGGAAUUCCUAGUGGAGCGGUAAAAUGCGCAGAUAUUAGGAGGAACACCGGUGGCGAAGGCGACUUUCUGGCUGACAACUGACGCUGAGGCGCGAAAGCGUGGGGAGCAAACAGGAUUAGAUACCCUGGUAGUCCACGCCGUAAACGAUGAUUACUAGGUGUAGGGGGUAUCGACUCCCUCUGUGCCACAGUUAACGCAGUAAGUAAUCCACCUGG